rnacentral:misc_RNA from 1 species
AAGACUAUAGACCUGCGGAGUACCUGCGGAAGGAUCAUUACCGAGUUAUCAACUCCCAAACCCCUGUGAACAUACCCGAACGUUGCCUCGGCGGGACCGCCCCGGCGCCCCUAGCGGCCCGGAACCAGGCGCCCGCCGGAGGACCCAAACUCUUGCUUUAAACAGUGGCAUACUCUCUGAGUCUCACAAACAAAAAAUAAAUCAAAACUUUUAACAACGGAUCUCUAGAUCGGAAGAGCA